rnacentral:tRNA from 1 species
GCCUGGGUGGCUCAGUCGGUUAAGCGUCCGACUUCAGCUCAGGUCACGAUCUCGUGGUUCACGAGUUCGAGCCCCGUGUCAGGCA